CUCAGGACGAACGCUGGCGGCGUGCUUAACACAUGCAAGUCGAACGGAAAGGCCCUUUCGGGGGUACUCGAGUGGCGAACGGGUGAGUAACACGUGGGUGAUCUGCCCUGCACUUCGGGAUAAGCUUGGGAAACUGGGUCUAAUACCGGAUAGGACUACGCACUGCAUGGUGUGUGGUGGAAAGCUUUUGCGGUGUGGGAUGGGCCCGCGGCCUAUCAGCUUGUUGGUGGGGUGAUGGCCUACCAAGGCGACGACGGGUAGCCGGCCUGAGAGGGUGUCCGGCCACACUGGGACUGAGAUACGGCCCAGACUCCUACGGGAGGCAGCAGUGGGGAAUAUUGCACAAUGGGCGCAAGCCUGAUGCAGCGACGCCGCGUGGGGGAUGACGGCCUUCGGGUUGUAAACCUCUUUCACCAUCGGCGAAGCCCAUGAUUUUUGUUGUGGGUGACGGUAGGUGGAGAAGAAGCACCGGCCAACUACGUGCCAGCAGCCGCGGUAAUACGUAGGGUGCGAGCGUUGUCCGGAAUUACUGGGCGUAAAGAGCUCGUAGGUGGUUUGUCGCGUUGUCCGUGAAAUUCCCUGGCUUAACUGGGGGCGUGCGGGCGAUACGGGCAGACUGGAGUACUGCAGGGGAGACUGGAAUUCCUGGUGUAGCGGUGGAAUGCGCAGAUAUCAGGAGGAACACCGGUGGCGAAGGCGGGUCUCUGGGCAGUAACUGAC
rnacentral:rRNA from 1 species